CUGGAACGUAGAUGUGACGGAGAAGCUAUAGCAGCUGUUUUGGACUUGACUGGAAGCUAUGGACUGAGGAUGACAACAGCUAGAUAGAAGGAACCCAGAUUUCCAGAAUGAGCUUACAGAACUAAACCUUCCCCAAAAGAGGCAAAUUUUAAAGCCUUGGCAAUGAGAAUGAAGAUUUUUUGAGACAAAGUUUCCGGGAGAAACAUAGCAUAUAGGCAAAUCCAGGGAUAGGAGAGAACAUGCAGACUUUGAGACACCUAAAGGAGUAGAGGGUGGCUGGACCGUAAAGGACAAUGGGGCAGCAGCAGGGAGAGCGGGGGCUUGGUUGGUGUCCAGGUGGAAGAUGAUGGCAGAGCUGGAGAGACGUGGGCACAGAUGGGGAAGGAAAGCAGGGACUCCUGAGGACCAGCCAGCUUCUGGCUUGAGCAAG
rnacentral:lncRNA from 1 species